CCUGCUUCGGUGGGGGAUCAGUGGCGAACGGGUGAGUAACACGUGGGCAACCUGCCCUCAGCUCUGGGAUAACUCCAAGAAAUUGGGGCUAAUACCGGAUAUGACCGCUGACCGCAUGGUCUGGUGGUGGAAAGAUUUAUCGGCUGGGGAUGGGCCCGCGGCCUAUCAGCUUGUUGGUGGGGUAGUGGCCUACCAAGGCGACGACGGGUAGCCGGCCUGAGAGGGUGACCGGCCACACUGGGACUGAGACACGGCCCAGACUCCUACGGGAGGCAGCAGUGGGGAAUAUUGCGCAAUGGGCGAAAGCCUGACGCAGCGACGCCGCGUGGGGGAUGACGGCCUUCGGGUUGUAAACCUCUUUCAGCAGGGACGAAGCGAAAGUGACGGUACCUGCAGAAGAAGCACCGGCCAACUACGUGCCAGCAGCCGCGGUAAUACGUAGGGUGCAAGCGUUGUCCGGAAUUAUUGGGCGUAAAGAGCUCGUAGGCGGUUCGUCGCGUCGGCUGUGAAAUCCCGAGGCUCAACCUCGGGCCUGCAGUCGAUACGGGCGGACUUGAGUUCGGCAGGGGAGACUGGAAUUCCUGGUGUAGCGGUGAAAUGCGCAGAUAUCAGGAGGAACACCGGUGGCGAAGGCGGGUCUCUGGGCCGAAACUGACGCUGAGGAGCGAAAGCGUGGGGAGCGAACAGGAUUAGAUACCCUGGUAGUCCACGCCGUAAACGUUGGGCGCUAGGUGUGGGGCUCAUUCCACGAGUUCCGUGCCGCAGCUAACGCAUUAAGCGCCCCGCCUGGGGAGUACGGCC
rnacentral:rRNA from 1 species